CCCUUAGAUGUUCUGGGCCGCACGCGCGCUACACUGACGACUUCAACGAGUUUUUUUCAUUUGAAAAAGUCCUUGGCCGGAAGGUCUGGGUAAUCUUUUAAAAGGUCGUCGUGAUGGGGCUAGAUUCUUGCAAUUAUUAAUCUCCAACGAGGAAUUCCUAGUAAACGCAGAUCAUCAAUCUGCAUUGAUUACGUCCCUGCCCUUUGUACACACCGCCCGUCGCACCUACCGAUUGGAUGGUCCGGUGAAGCCUCGGGAUUGUGGUUCUUGCCGCUUUAUUGUGGCGUGACCGCGAGAACUUGUCUAAACCUUAUCAUCUAGAGGAAGGUGAAGUCGUAACA
rnacentral:rRNA from 1 species